CCUACGGGAGGCAGCAGUGAGGAAUAUUGGUCAAUGGACGAGAGUCUGAACCAGCCAAGUAGCGUGAAGGAUGACUGCCCUAUGGGUUGUAAACUUCUUUUAUAUGGGAAUAAAACGUUCCACGUGUGGGAUUUUGUAUGUACCAUAUGAAUAAGGAUCGGCUAACUCCGUGCCAGCAGCCGCGGUAAUACGGAGGAUCCGAGCGUUAUCCGGAUUUAUUGGGUUUAAAGGGAGCGUAGGUGGAUUGUUAAGUCAGUUGUGAAAGUUUGCGGCUCAACCGUAAAAUUGCAGUUGAAACUGGCAGUCUUGAAUACAGUAGAGGUGGGCGGAAUUCGUGGUGUAGCGGUGAAAUGCUUAGAUAUCACGAAGAACUCCGAUUGCGAAGGCAGUUCACUGGACUGCAACUGACACUGAGGCUCGAAAGUGUGGGUAUCAAACAGGAUUAGAUACCCGUGUAGUC
rnacentral:rRNA from 1 species